GAUGAACGCUCGCUCCAGGCUUAACACAUGCAAGUCGAGGGGAAACGACAUCGAAAGCUUGCUUUUGAUGGGCGUCGACCGGCGCACGGGUGAGUAACGCGUAUCCAACCUGCCCAUCACUUGGGAAUAACCUUGCGAAAGUAAGACUAAUACCCAAUGAUAUCCCACGAAGGCAUCGGAAUGGGAUUAAAGAUUUAUCGGUGAUGGAUGGGGAUGCGUCUGAUUAGCUUGUUGGCGGGGUAACGGCCCACCAAGGCAACGAUCAGUAGGGGUUCUGAGAGGAAGGUCCCCCACAUUGGAACUGAGACACGGUCCAAACUCCUACGGGAGGCAGCAGUGAGGAAUAUUGGUCAAUGGGCGAGAGCCUGAACCAGCCAAGUAGCGUGCAGGAAGACGGCCCUAUGGGUUGUAAACUGCUUUUAUAAGGGAAUAAAGUGGGUCACGUGUGACUUUUUGCAUGUACCUUAUGAAUAAGGACCGGCUAAUUCCGUG
rnacentral:rRNA from 1 species